AGAGUUUGAUCCUGGCUCAGGAUGAACGCUAGCGGCAGGCCUAAUACAUGCAAGUCGAACGGUAAGUGGUGUAGCAAUACAUCACGAGAGUGACGUACGGGUGCGUAACACGUAUGCAACCUACCCUUUACAGGAGGAUAGCUCGGGGAAACCCGAAUUAACCCUCCAUAGUAUAAUUGAGUGGCAUCAUUUGAUUAUUAAAACUCCGGUGGUAAAGGAUGGGCAUGCGUCUGAUUAGUUAGUUGGCGGGGUAAUGGCCCACCAAGACGAUGAUCAGUAGGGGAACUGAGAGGUUGAUCCCCCACACUGGCACUGAGAUACGGGCCAGACUCCUACGGGAGGCAGCAGUAGGGAAUAUUGGUCAAUGGAUGCAAGUCUGAACCAGCCAUGCCGCGUGCAGGAAGAAGGCCCUACGGGUUGUAAACUGCUUUUGCCAGGGGAUAAAAUUUCUUUGCGAAGAAAAUUGAAGGUACCUGGUGAAUAAGCCACGGCUAACUACGUGCCAGCAGCCGCGGUAAUACGUAGGUGGCAAGCGUUGUCCGGAUUUAUUGGGUUUAAAGGGUGCGUAGGCGGCCUUAUAAGUCAGUGCUGAAAUAUCCCGGCUUAACCGGGAGGGUGGCAUUGAUACUGUAGGGCUUGAGUAAAGUUGAGGUUGGCGGAAUUGACGGUGUAGCGGUGAAAUGCUUAGAUAUCGUCAAGAACACCGAUAGCGAAGGCAGCUAACUAAGCUUUAACUGACGCUGAGGCACGAAAGUGUGGGGAUCAAACAGGAUUAGAUACCCUGGUAGUCCACACUGUAAACGUUGAUGACUCGCUGUGUGCGAUAUACAGUACGCGGCUUAGCGAAAGCGAUAAGUCAUCCACCUGGGGAGUACGCCGGCACGGUGAACUCAAAGGAAUUGACGGGGUCGCACAAGCGGUGGAGC
rnacentral:rRNA from 1 species